UUCUGGGUACGGACUACUGCGAAAGCAUUUGCCUAAUCUAUUUCCAUUAAUCAAGUCCGAAAGCUAAGGGAGGAGAGACGAUCAGAUACCGUCGUAAUACUAACUAUAAACUAUACCGACUAGGUGUUGGAUGAAUAUAAAAAAUAUAUAAAUAUGUAGCAUUUCUUAGGGAAUGUUGAUUUUAUAUUAGAAUUGCUUCCUUCAGUACCUUAUGAGAAAUCAAAGUCUUUGGGUUCUGGGGCGAGUAUUCGCGCAAGCGAGAAAGUUAAAAGAAUUGGCGGAAGGGCA
rnacentral:rRNA from 1 species